rnacentral:lncRNA from 1 species
AAAAAGUUCUUGACAAUAGUAUUGAAUGUAUCUAGUGCACGGGUGCAUAUAGAGAGUUGUCUUCUGAGAUUAUAGAAGACGAGAGAAGGAUAGGAGAGAUUUAAAAGAGGGCUCGGAUUGUAGCUAAUCUAUAUAGAAGACGAGUCAGGUGUAAUAUUUUUUUAUUUAAUAAAUUUUAUUUUAUCCGUAUAUUUUUUAUUUUGAAUUUUCUCUUUUUAAUAAUUAUACCAAUUUUUACUGAAGAGAAGAAUUUAUGAUAAAAAUCCGAUUCGAUAUUUCUAUUGCGAAAUUCUAACAAUCGGUACCGGAUCAACAACAGUCGGUAUUGGAGCGAGUUGUGAAUUUUUAAAAUUUGGUAUUAAAGCGAGUAUCAGCUUCCUAAU